GCAUUGUAAAUCUCACGAGAACUCGGAGCGGCAGCGUGACAUUGAAGACUUCCAGUUCCGGGUUCCGCUGAUCAGAAGCGGACAAGCAAACAGCGGAUGUGCAGUUCCUCUCUUCGCCGAACCCGGUUUUCCCUUUCGGAGCAGCGCGACCGAUUUCCGGUUUCCCCGCCGCAACCACCGUUACCCCCCCCCCGCCCCAAUCCCCGGCGACUCCAGCGACGUCACCGGUUCAGCUCCUGACCUUUCGGCGAACCGCAGAACCACAGGCGACCCGUUCGACGUCAUCACUCCCCGCCCAGAUGUCGCUGUGACAUCACCCCGCACGUGCCUGCGCUGGCACCGCGUCGUCCUGGCGAGCGCCUCCUCGCGGCGGAAGGAGAUCCUGGGGUUCGCUGUGCGAGACAUGUCGGCGGGGUUUCACGUGAGUGACACUUGGUCCCCACGGGAUUGACAGCGACUAGCGGAGUGGCAUGUGGACGUAGCUUCAGGUGACCUCACUGACCCCGCCCCUGACUCCACCCCUUGUGAUGACCCCACCACUGACCCACAGGCCUUGGAGGGGCUGAUCCUGGAGAAGUCAAAGGACCAGGAGGACGCCAUGGGGGGUGCUGUACAGGCUGAGCAGGAAGCAGAGCAGCACAGCGUCAUCAUGAGGGUAGCCAUCUUCACCUGGGGCAUCCACGGAGGCCCUGCCCAGGAAGUGACUUUCUCUCUACUGUAGGAGGAGCUGAUCCACGACUACUUGGACAACAGCACACCAGCGAAGGAUGGGACAAGGCCUGGGGCCUCCGCCAUCCAUGCGUGGGGAGUGAUGCUGGUAGAGGGCAAAUUGGUGACGUCAUCAAUGCAGCGGGCUUCCCACUCAACCACUUUAGCCGCAAGCUUGCAAGGGCAGCUGCCAGAGACAGGAAGUGACAUCGCUGUGGAGAGGGCAGCAGGAAGUGAGGUGGAAGAAAAGUGUUUUGAAACUGACCCUACAGAUAAAAGAGUUCAUCAUGAAUGCGUGAGUUUUCUAUUUUUCUAGUAACAAAGAGUGGGUUUUAUAGUGUUCACGUGUAUUUAUUUAUUAGACAUAUUAGAGUACGUUAUAAUUGUAUUUUUAUGAUGAAAACAACACAGUUUUACUCAAUAGAUGUGAGUUUCUAAAUGUGAUAAGAAAGAUCGUACUCGAACAUUAUUUUCAUUCCUGGGCUAUACUGUAUGCCAUUACUUUGACGUAUUUUCAUAUGUACAUUUUAAAUAAUACUGUCCAAUGUGUUAAGAAAGAAAAAUGUUUUAACACAGAUGCUACAGAAAAGAGUGUUAAUCCUGAAUGCCUGUGUGUUCUACUCUAUGCUAGUAACAACAAGAGUGUUUUUUUUGAGAGUUCACCUGCGUUUAUUUAUUAGACAUAUUAGACUAUAUUAUAGCUAUCUUUGAAAGAAGAAAACCAGACAGUUUUGGCAAUAGAUGUCAAUUUCUAAAUGCAAUGAGAAAGAUUUUAUUGAAUGUUAUUUCCUUUAGUGGGCUACACUGUAUAUCCUUUGACGUAUUUUCAUAUGCACAUUUUAAAUAAAACUGUACAAUGCGCCGGGCGUGGUGGCACAUGCCUUUAAUCCCAGCACUCGGGAGGCAGGGGCAGGCGAAUUUCUGAGUUCAAGGCCAGCCUGGUCUACAAAGUGAGUUCCAGGACAGCCAGGGCUAUACAGAGAAACCCUGUCUUGAAAAACAACACAAAACAAAACAAAAACCUGCACAAUGCGAUAAACCUGGAAUUAAAGUGUUUUAACACACUCUAGUGAAAAAGAGUUCAUCAUGAAUGCCUGAUUGUUCUACUGUGUGCUAGUUACAAGAGUGAUUUUUUUUAGUGUUCAUGUGUAUUUAUUUAUUAGAAAUAUUAUACUACAAUGUACUGUCUUUUUAUGAAGAAAACAAGACAGUUUCACACAAUAGAUGUGAAUUUAUAAAUGUGAUAAAAUGGUGUUUUUCGAAUGUUAUUUCCUUUAGUGGGCUACACUAUAUGUCAUUAGGUUUAAGAAUUUUCAUAUGCACAAUGUAAAUGAAACUCUACAAUGUGUUAAGGCUGGAUGAAAAGUGUUUUUACAAAGAUGCUACAGAAAAGAGAAUUAGUCGUGAAUGCCUGAGUGUUCCACUCUGUUAGCAACAAGAGUGUUUUGUUUUUUAUUGUUCGGGUGAAUUUAUGUAUUAGACAUAUUAGACUACAUUAUAACUGUCUUUUUUGAAGAAAACAAGAUAGUUUUGCUCAAUAGAUGUGAAUUUUUAUAUACGAUAAGAAAGAUCUUAUUGGAAAGAUGUCCUUUAGUGUGUUACAGUGAAUGUCAUUACUUUUAAUUAUUUUCAUAUGCACAUUUUAAAUAAGACUGCACAAUGUGCUAAAGCUGGAAGAAAAGUGUUUUAACCGAGACACUACAGAAAAGAUACUUAAUCAUGAAUGCCUUUGUGUUCUACUCUGUUCUAGCAACAACAAAAGUGUUUUUUUUUAUAUUGUUCACAUGUAUUUAUUGAUUAGACAUACUAAACUACAUUAAAGCUGACUUUUUACAAAAAAUA
rnacentral:lncRNA from 1 species